CUGUUGUAUGAAAGGAGAGAUGGUUAGCAUUCCCUUUGACAAGGAUCAAAAUU
rnacentral:ncRNA from 1 species